AUUUAGUGGGGAAUAACUGUUGGAAACGACAGCUAAUACCGCAUAAUAUUGCUGGAUAAUUUCCAGUAAUGAAAGGAGCUUUCAAGCUCCGCUGAUUGAUGAGGAUGCGGCGCAUUAGCUAGUUGGUAGGGUAAUGGCCUACCAAGGCAAUGAUGCGUAGCCGAUCUGAGAGGAUGAACGGCCACAUUGGGACUGAGACACGGCCCAAACUUCUACGGAAGGCAGCAGUAGGGAAUUUUUCACAAUGGGCGAAAGCCUGAUGGAGCAAUGCCGCGCGACUGAUGAAGGUCUUCGGAUUGUAAAGGUCUGUUGUAAGGGAAGAAAUGGUAAAACAGGAAAUGGUUUUAUCUAUGACGGUACCUUACCAGAAAGCCACGGCUAACUAUGUGCCAGCAGCCGCGGUAAUACAUAGGUGGCAAGCGUUAUCCGGAUUUAUUGGGCGUAAAGGGUGCGUAGACGGUUUUGCAAGUCUGAGGUUAAAUUUAGGAGCUCAACUCCUAAUCGCCUUGGAAACUACAAGACUAGAGUAUAGGAGAGGUUAGUGGAAUUNCAUGUGUAGCGGUGGAAUGUGUAGAUAUAUGGAGGAACACCAGUGGCNNA
rnacentral:rRNA from 1 species